rnacentral:rRNA from 1 species
CCAAGCUACAAAGAGCCAACGGUGAAUGCCUUGGCGCCUAUGACCGAAGAAGGACGUGGAUGACUGCGAAAAGUUACGGUGAGCCGUCUAUCAGGCUUCGACCCGUAAAUGUCCGAAUGAGGAAACUCAACACUCGUUAUUGAGUGUUAUUCCGGUGUGAAUACAUAGCACCGGUAAAGGGAACCGGGGGAAUUGAAACAUCUCAGUACCCCGAGGAAAGAAAAGCAAACGCGACUCCCCUAGUAGUGGCGAGCGAAAAGGGAACAGGCUAAACCGCAGCAACGUGACACCCUGAAGGGGUUGUUGAUGCGGUGUCGUGGGAUAUCGACGUACGGCUUCAGACGUACGACGGAGUUAACAACGUGCUGCGUAGUAGAACCAUCUGGAAAUAUGGACCACAGGGGGUAAUAGUCCCGUACACGAAACGCACGCACGCUCCGCGAUCGAUCCCAAGUAAUGGCGGGGCCGAGCAACCUGCCAUGAAUCCGUGGGGACCACCCCAUAAGCCUCAGUAUCAAUAGGCGACCGAUAGUGAACCAGUACCGCGAGGGAAAGGUGAAAAGAACCCCGGGAGGGGAGUGAAAUAGUACCUGAAACCGUUGGUUUACAAGCAGUCAGAGAGUCGUGUUGCAACCGUAGGGUUGCAUCGCCUCGAUGGCGUGCCUUUUGAAGAAUGAGCCUACGAGUUGCGGUAUGUGGCGAGGUUAACCCGAGAGGGGUAGCCGAAGCGAAAGCGAGUCUGAACAGGGCGUUCAGUCGCAUGCUGUAGACCCGAAGCCAAGUGAUCUUGCCAUGGUCAGGUUGAAGCGGGGGUAAGACCCCGUGGAGGACCGAACAGGUACCAGUUGAAAAUGGUUCUGAUGAACUGUGGUAAGGGGCGAAAGACCAAUCAAACUUGGCGAUAGCUGGUUCUCCUCGAAAUGCAUUUAGGUGCAGCGUUGCACGUUCAAUUCCGGAGGUAGAGCACUGGAUGGGCUAGAGGUCCAACAAGAUUAUCGACCCCAGCCAAACUCCGAAUUACGGAAUUCCAGAGUGCAGCAGUGAGACCAUGGGGGAUGAGCUUCAUUGGUCGAAAGGGAAACAGCCCAGAUCAUCAGCUAAGGCCCCAAAUUCAGGACUAAGUGUAAAACGAUGUGAAAUUGCUUAGACAGCCAGGAGGUUGGCUUAGAAGCAGCCACCCUUGAAAGAGUGCGUAACAGCUCACUGGUCGAGUGAUUUUGCGCGGACAAUGUAACGGGGCUCAAGUCCUGAGCCGAAGCUAUGGAUUGCAUCGACGUUCGCGUCGUUGCAGUGGUAGAGGAGCGUUGAUGGAGUGCCGAAGCGACGAGGUAACUCGGCGUGGAGUUCCAUCAAGUGAGAAUGUAGGUAUGAGUAGCGAAAGAGGGGUGAGAAACCCCUCCGCCGAAUGCCCAAGGUUUCCUGGGGAAGGCUAAUCCUCCCAGGGUAAGUCGGGAGCUAAGGAGAGGCCGCGAGGCGUAUCCGAUGCACAACUGGUUG